UUUUUAAAUGAAGGCACGUGUCCAGGGAGAAGGGUAACAAUGAAUGGGUUCUAGGUUUGGGGCUUUACGUCUUGGCUCCAGUUAGGAGAAGAUGCAUUUGUUUUCUUAACCAGUCGGUUUUUAUUUAAGAGACAAACAAGAGGCAAGGUGGGGCAGCCCCUGUGUGGGACUGUGUUCCUUCCUUCCCCUUCCCUGUAUCUCUGGCUCUUGCCUUCCCCUGGGAUCUGCCACCCUCCUCCUCUGCCCUUUCCCUCUUCCUGCCUAUGCCUCGCCUCCUUUUUCUGCUCUCCCCGUGCGGCCCCCUGUUGCUCUCAGCCCACUUCUUCUUUCCUCACCCUUCCUGCUUGCUUUGCUGCCCUCUUUCUUAGUCCCGUUGGUUCUGGUUCGUUUGUGGCCUUGGCCUCUCCCGUGCUCUUGUCUUGCUGUCGUCCCCUCAUCGCCUCACAGGGGUACAGUAGGAGCGUCAUGGGGUUGUUUUUCCUCCUCUUUUGCCUGUUAGAAGUCCCUCUGCUACACCCAUACCAUAAAUAACACUCAAGCAUCUGCCAAACACAUUCCUCACUUGUGUUAAUAGGCUGCAAUGAUGCUGGAGCCUGUUGCCAUGGCAACCUCAUUUUUGUUUGACUGUAUCCCACUCUGCUACAUAAAGCCUCUGUGCUCACUCACACACAAACAAGCACACUCCACAACUAUGAUCCAUGCUUGGAUGUCAAAGAUUAUUUUGGAGAUAGCCUCUUUGGGCCCUGUGGAGGCAGGGUGGUCAUUUGAACCCAAGGAGAUGGUCACCUCCUCCAAGUAUUACCCUAGUAGGUCAUAAUGAAUGGAGAGACCUGCUCAAAUGUUUGGUAUUAUUAUUUCACAGCCACCUUGAACCUGUUUGAUGUGAUUUCUGAGAAGAUUCUGACCCCGUAUGGGUAGGCAGGAGAGUAGAGUGCAGGGUCCCAUCCCCUCCCAACCCUGAAUUACUUUUGCUCCUUACUCCUUGCCUCCUGCCCUUUAGGAGAAACAGUGAUUUCCUGCAUUUCUUCCUUUGUGCCUGUUUGAACUCACAACUGUCACCAGUUGUUCCAGCGACCAGAAUGGCACAGGCACUGUGUGGGUGAUGUUCUGUGACUGAGCACGUGUGAGUGUCUGUUGUGCGGAGGCAAGGGAUGGGUGGGGGUAAGGACAUGGGCCAGGAAUCCACCGCUGUGGCUGCCCCAGGGCAUGUGCACGUGUGAGCCAGCGCAUGUGCCUGCCCGUGUCUGUCUGUCUGGCAGGCGUGCUGGCCCGGGUGAUGGGGGUGGCCUGAGAAGCUUUUGUGUUCACUUUGAGAGGAGAUCCUCCUGGCUCUGUUCUGUUUGUUUUUGGCUGGUAGCUGGCUUCCUAUGGCCAUUAGCUUUUCUCAUUCUUCUGACCUUGACCUAUGACUCCUCAGGGACUGUAUACACUCCCUCCCAUUUCCAUAGUGAGUUUGGGGGCUGGACUUGAGUGGGCAAACCCCUUCACCCCAAGGAGCCCAUCCUUUCCUUUUUCCUGCUGUGCAGUGGCUCAGCAGCAGGAUGAACACUAUUGGAGUGCCACCUCCUUGAUCUGGAACUUGGCCCAGUGGCCAGUCUGGAGGAUCACUGUGGCUGCCCUAUUUGCACUGCUGGGUGGUAUGGAGGACACUUCUACCACAAAGACCAGGUCAUUGUCUGCCACCAAUGACUUCCCCGUCACCUGUGUUUCUGUGCAGGAGAAAUCUGGCCACAAGUGAAUUCCAAAUAGCACCAGCAGGCUGGGGGUGGGGUUGACUUUGAAUUUGGAGUGGAGAAGGGUCUGCUUGUCUUGAUAAUUGCAUUUAGCAGUUACGUUUGCUAAUUGUCUUUGAUUGUGUUGCCUACUUCUCCAGGCAGCUAGGAGGGAAUGUGUGAAGAGGAACAGAAGCCGCUCCUGGCAAGAGCUGGAGCAGGUUUCUGGGUAGGGGAUGUUCUGCUAGACCUCAAGGGUACCUUGAUCACUGUGGGGAGGACUUCAGGAAUGGUGGAGACUCAGCCAAGGAGCAGAAUGCCUGGCUGCUAUAUCUGUAGGAAAGUUCGCUGUUAAUAAUUCAAUUUAAGUUGUGAUUUGCAAGCAAGAGCAUGAAGUCUCUGUGCUGUGGGACACAGAACAGAAUGCUUCCAUUUAUGUGAAGAGGGCACAGGCAGUUGUUAAGCACUAUCAUGGAAACCUGUUUGACCUUGCAGGAGAGUUUAAAAAUCAGUGUAAAAGCCUUGAACAAAAGCUCUCUUCUAGAGACAGACAGGCCCUGGACAUGAGUCCCUGUGUCAGAGAGUGUAGCUGGCAGCAGAACAGGGCUGUGGCAUCUCCUCUCCUGGGAGGUAUGAAUGGAACUACCACUUUGGUCCCAGGCAUGGGUGUAGUGGGGAAAGGGCAGGGUGACCAGAGGGGGGGACCUCCUGGGUUGUGCCAGUCUCUAGCUGGGUGACAUCUGGUCCAUGAUUGCCUGCUCUUUAUUUCAACUAACUUUAUUCAUCUGUGGCAGGUCCAGCUUGUGGUCAUUUCUUCCCAGGAGUGCUCCCUGGCCUGGGAGUGGAAAGUUGCUCUGGGGGCUCCAACAUGCCUGUUCCCAUAAGCCCUUUGGGUGGCAGUUAUAUAAGUGACGUUUGAGCACAUUCUUUUCUCACCCAUGCUUACCAGAUGGGGGUAGCUGGCUGGUGGAGGACAGGAUCAACACUGAUUUUCUCUCCUGAACACAAAACUUAAUAGAGAUCAUUGAAAAGUACCAAUUUCUUUUUCUUUUUUUUUUUUUCCCCUCAAGGCGAUGUCCAAAUAUAGGAUGGGGAAGAUCUCUAUGGCAUUGUGAAAAAAUCUGGGAGUUUCUAGUUAACAGACAGUGCUCUUAAGGAAGAAACUCUUAAAGAAUAUUGGUGAUAAACAAUGAGCAUGCGUCGAGUCUUCACGAUGUACCCUGCAUGGGGCUAAUCCCUUACAUGCAAGACCUUUACUUAACCUUACUAUCAACAGUGAAGAAACCAGGAUAGGAGAAGCCUCCUGAGCUGCUGGGAUUACAGAUGUGCACCACAGAAUCCAGCCAGAAAAAUCAUUUCUUCAGUCCUUGCCUCUAGGUCCCUUUUCAGCGAAAUCCAGAGAGUAAAGAAGCCAGAUCCUGGUGCAGGUUGGACUUGACUGCAAGGGAGGAGAAGGCCCUUUGUUGGGGACACAAAAGUAUCAAAUGGAGAACUUGAUUGAUAUAGAAGCCUGAGCUUCUCUCUUAUUUGAUAAUAUAUGUUGUCACUAGUAUAUUGGUUUCUGGAUUAGAAGGAUGAUGUGAAAAAAAUGUGAAGCGUAUUUUUAAGAAAAAUAUGUGUUAUUUUUUGAAUUGUUAAUUUUUUAAAAAUGAUGUGGCUUUCCCUGCCCUUUUUUGUUAGCCAUCUAAUCUCUUCAGAUUUCUAAGCGGUUGUGACAGGGGACAGUAGACCUUGUAAUAAAAAAAAAAAAAAAGUUUUCUUAAAAUGAGAAAAGAAGACCUUGAUUUGCAGCAUUUUUGCAGGCCUGAAAGAAAUUACAUGCUGACUUAAGGGCCUGCCAGCUUCUUGGCCAGGCUGUGACAUGGCUCAGCCGAUGGAGGACUCAGUAAUUAGGAGUCUUCUCCUGGAGUCUGCAGGGAACUUGGUCUGCUAUGGCAGUGCCUCUUCCUUGGUAUUUCUGUAGUUUGACACUCAGCAGACUUAACUCUGAUGGAACUUGCCCAGACCACCAUGCACAGACAUCUAAAUUCGUCAUCUCAAUACUCCAUUAUUAAGCACCAUGUGUGUGCUAUAUGGCUAAAGUCAUAUAAUCACAGGAGUGAGACAGGGUCCUUGCGGGGAUGGGAGGGAGAUUUGCUCCAUGCUAAUAGACCUAGGCCAGGGUCCUUUUGAGGGUCCCUGUGUCAUCACGCAUGAUUUGUUACCUGUGUGUGGUCAUGUGGGUG